rnacentral:rRNA from 1 species
UACGUAGGGGGCCGAGCGUUGUCCGGAGUUAUUGGGCGUAAAGCGCGCGCAGGCGGCUUGACGCGCCCGACGUGAAAGCCCCCCGGCUUAACCGGGGAGGGUCGUCGGGUACGGUCAGGCUUGAGGGCGGGAGAGGGUGGUGGAAUUCCCGGUGUCAGUGGUGAAAUGCGGUAGAGAUCGGGAGGAACACCUGUGGCGAAGGCGGCCAACUG